rnacentral:rRNA from 1 species
CCUACGGGGGGCUGCAGUGGGGAAUUUUGGACAAUGGGCGCAAGCCUGAUCCAGCAAUGCCGCGUGCAGGAUGAAGGCCUUCGGGUUGUAAACUGCUUUUGUACGGAACGAAACGGUCUGCCCUAAUACGGUGGGCUAAUGACGGUACCGUAAGAAUAAGCACCGGCUAACUACGUCCCAGCAGCCGCGGUAAUACGUAGGGUGUUAGCGUUAGUCGAAAUUACUGGGGCGAAAGCGUAAGCCGGAGGUGAAAUCCCCGGGCUUAACCUGGGACCUGCAUUUGUGACUGUAUAGCUAGAGUACGGCAGAGGGGGAUGGAAUUCCGCGUGUAGCAGUGAAAUGCGUAGAUAUGCGGAGGAACACCGAUGGCGAAGGCAAUCCCCUGGGCCUGUACUGACGCUCAUGCACGAAAGCGUGGGGAGCAAACAGGAUUAGAUACCCCUGUAGUC